rnacentral:lncRNA from 1 species
GAGAGAGAGAGAGAGAGAGAGAGAGAGAGAGAGAGAGAGAGAGAGAGAGAGAGAGAUCCUGAGCGGUACUAUGGGCGAUUCGAAGAACCUACAGGAUGUGUGUGCUCAAGUCCUGGCCCUCCCCAUUUAGGUUUGCCCUAAUCAGUCUGGGGUUGCCAUGCCAACCGUCCCUCCGACAACAAAAUCAAGCAGCACUACUUACUGAUGCAUUCCUCUGGCUUUACUCCAGCAGGAGACUCCAUUUGCUGAACUGAUCUAUGCAAAAAUAAAUGCUACCUGCACAGAAACGUAAUAACCUAGAUGUCCGUCAUCGAAGAAGGCACAUGCUGGAGAGUUGGGAAUGGAGGUCACUUUCUAAGGUGGAGAAAAGCUGGUCACAGUUCCUGCACUGUGGUGGGGCAUUUUCAAGAAACAGAAACGAUGUGCAGGUCAGAGGAGAUCAAGCUGCGAGUG